UACGUAGGGGGCUAGCGUUGUCCGGAAUCAUUGGGCGUAAAGCGCGUGUAGGCGGUCCGGUAAGUCCGCUGUGAAAGUCGAGGGCUCAACCCUCGAAUGCCGGUGGAUACUGUCGGGCUUGAGUACGGGAGAGGCGAGUGGAAUUCCUGGUGUAGUGGUGAAAUGCGCAGAUAUCAGGAGGAACACCGAUUGCGAAGGCAGCUCGCUGGAACGUUACUGACGCUGAGACGCGAAAGCGUGGGGAGCAAACAGG
rnacentral:rRNA from 1 species